rnacentral:SRP_RNA from 1 species
GCUGGGUAUGGUGGUGCAUGCCCGUAAUCCCAGCUACUUGGGAGGCUGAGGCAGGAGAAUCACUUGAACCCAGGAGGCAGAGGUUGCAGUGAGCCGAGAUCGCGCCACUGCACUCUAGCCUGGGUGACAGAGCGAGACUCCGUCUCAA